rnacentral:rRNA from 1 species
CAAUUUAAACAACGAAGAGUUUGAUCCUGGCUCAGGAUGAACGCUAGCGACAGGCUUAACACAUGCAAGUCGAGGGGCAGCACAGGUAGCAAUACCGGGUGGCGACCGGCGCACGGGUGAGUAACGCGUAUGCAACUUACCUAUCAGAGGGGGAUAACCCGGCGAAAGUCGGACUAAUACCGCAUGAAGCAGGGGCCCCGCAUGGGGAUAUUUGCUAAAGAUUCAUCGCUGAUAGAUAGGCAUGCGUUCCAUUAGGCAGUUGGCGGGGUAACGGCCCACCAAACCGACGAUGGAUAGGGGUUCUGAGAGGAAGGUCCCCCACAUUGGUACUGAGACACGGACCAAACUCCUACGGGAGGCAGCAGUGAGGAAUAUUGGUCAAUGGGCGUAAGCCUGAACCAGCCAAGUCGCGUGAGGGAUGAAGGUUCUAUGGAUCGUAAACCUCUUUUAUAAGGGAAUAAAGUGCGGGACGUGUCCCGUUUUGUAUGUACCUUAUGAAUAAGGAUCGGCUAACUCCGUGCCAGCAGCCGCGGUAAUACGGAGGAUCCGAGCGUUAUCCGGAUUUAUUG